rnacentral:misc_RNA from 1 species
GAUGAAGAACGUAGCGAAAUGCGAUAAGUAGUGUGAAUUGCAGAAUUCAGUGAAUCAUCGAAUCUUUGAACGCACAUUGCGCUCUCUGGUAUUCCGGAGAGCAUGCUUGUUUGAGUAUCAGUAAACACCUCAACUUCCAUAUCUUUUUUGAAAUGGGAGUUGGACUUGAGUGAUCCCAACGCUUUUCCUCACCGAAAAGUGGCGGGUUACUUGAAAUGCAGGUGCAGCUGGACUUUUCUCUGAGCUAUAAGCAUAUCUAUUUAGUCUGCCUAAAAAACAGAUUAUUACCUUUGCUGCAGCUAACAUAAAGGAGAUUAGUUCUUGUGCUGACUGAUGCAGGAUUCACAAAGACAGGCUUCGGCCGACUUUGUAAACUCGAUCUCAAAUCAAGUAAGACUACCCGCUGAACUUAAGCAUAUCAAUAAGCGGAGGA